AUGGCCUCCGGUCAGCAAGAGAGGUCGGAGCUGGACCGCAUGGCCCGCGAGGGGGAGACCGUCGUCCCCGGCGGCACCGGUGGGAAGACCCUCGAGGCGCAGGAGCACCUCGCCGACGGGCGCAGCCGCGGUGGGCAGACUCGGAAGGAGCAGCUGGGGGAGGAGGGGUACAGCGAGAUGGGUCACAAGGGCGGGGAGACUCGGAAGGAGCAGCUCGGGGAGGGGGGGUACCGUGAGAUGGGUCGCAAGGGAGGGGAGACUCGCAAGGAGCAGCUGGGGGAGGAGGGGUACCGCGAGAUGGGGCACAAGGGCGGGGAGACUCGCAAGGAGCAGCUCGGGGAGGAGGGGUACCGCGAGAUGGGGCGCAAGGGCGGGCUGAGCACCAUGGAGGAGUCCGGUGGCGAGCGCGCCGCCAGAGAGGGCAUCGAGAUCGAUGAGUCCAAGUUCAAGACCAAGUCCUAA
rnacentral:rRNA from 1 species